AGACAUAUCAUCUGGGGAUCUUGUUAAAAAUGCUGAUUCAGUGUCAGGUGGGACCCAAGAUUCUUAACAGGCUUUCAGGUGAUGCCAGU
rnacentral:miRNA from 1 species